UACGAAGGGGGCUAGCGUUGCUCGGAAUCACUGGGCGUAAAGGGUGCGUAGGCGGGUCUUAAGUCAGGGGUGAAAUCCUGGAGCUCAACUCCAGAACUGCCUUUGAUACUGAGGAUCUUGAGUUCGGGAGAGGUGAGUGGAACUGCGAGUGUAGAGGUGAAAUUCGUAGAUAUUCGCAAGAACACCAGUGGCGAAGGCGGCUCACUGGCCCGAUACUGACGCUGAGGAGCGAAAGCGUGGGGAGCGAACAGG
rnacentral:rRNA from 1 species